rnacentral:rRNA from 1 species
GAUGAACGCUAGCGAUAGGCUUAACACAUGCAAGUCGAGGGGCAGCAUGGUCUUAGCUUGCUAAGACUGAUGGCGACCGGCGCACGGGUGCGUAACGCGUAUGCAACUUGCCUCACAGAGGGGGAUAACCCGUCGAAAGACGGACUAAUACCGCGUACACUUGGGAUAGGGCAUCCUGACCCAAGGAAAUGAAAUUCGCUGUGAGAUAGGCAUGCGUCCCAUUAGCUAGUUGGUGAGGUAACGGCUCACCAAGGCGACGAUGGGUAGGGGAACUGAGAGGUUGAACCCCCACACUGGUACUGAGACACGGACCAGACUCCUACGGGAGGCAGCAGUGAGGAAUAUUGGUCAAUGGGCGAGAGCCUGAACCAGCCAAGUCGCGUGAAGGAUGACUGUCUUACGGAUUGUAAACUUCUUUUAUACGGGAAUAACAAGAGCCACGUGUGGCUCCCUGCAUGUACCGUAUGAAUAAGCAUCGGCUAACUCCGUG